CCUUUCUCUAGCCCACCACCGGUCCAACCCAACCCCUCUCAAGCCCAUACCCCUUCGAUGGAGAGGGCAACGCUCGUUGUCCUCUUCUCCAAAAGCGAGCACGCAGGAGGCGUGCUCCACCUCUGUGACCACCGCACAAUCCACCUCCAACCACUCCCUCCUCCCUUUUAAUCCCCACACCAGCGCAGCAAAACCCUAGCCUUCUUUUCCUCCCCUCGCGCCGCCAACCCUCUUCCCUUCUCUCUUUUCCCCUUUCUCUGUGAGCAAACGAAACAGGAGAAACCCCACUGCCACCACCGUCCUCGCCAUGGCGCCGCCGUCCCACACCUCCCCUCGCCACUCCAAGACCACCCCCAGAACCGGCUCGUCGUCCUCUACGUCCUCAUACAAGGAAUCGAUCCGGGAGGCCUUCAAUCGUCGCCAAUUCAUCGUUUCCCUCGAGCCAUAUGUCGCCUUUCUUCUUCGAUUCCGGCCACCUCGAACCUUCCCCGGCCGUCACACCACCCGUCGUUGGUCCGCUGCUCCAAGGCGCAUCUCUGGCACCAUCCAUCUCGCCUCGGUUCAUCCUCGAACGCCAGAUCCGGGCUCACCUGCAAGUUCCCGCCAUGGCCCCGAGCUCCGCUCCUAUCUGCUUCAAGUAGUGCGCGGCCCAUGUUCUUCAACAUCAAAACCAGCAGCCCAGUGAUGGGCCUCAGCCCGUAGCCCCGCACCAGCCCGUUGCCAACGCGCGGCAGACAGCUUCCCACUGCUUAAUCGCAUUUGCUUCUUCCCGGAUAGGAACGCGAAGUGGUGUUGUGCGGUACGACAAGUUCUUCUGCAACCUUUCACAGGCGAGCCCACCCCUUCACCUAUUUUACUUUUACAUGCUCUUUUGAUCUAUUGCUAUCCUUAUGUUGCGAUUCUGUUGUGUCACGUGUCCUAUCCACCUGUUACCUAUAUGUCCGAGAUACACCUCCUCGCCCUACCUAUUGUUUGUUGUUUGCCAGCUUUGCGAGUCGUAGGCGUGUUUAGGCUCUGUUGUUUAUCUCGAUCUGUUAUCGGGAUAUGUUGGGUUGUUGGGAGGUUUUCACAUGAUAUAUCAUUUGUUGGAGAUACACAUGCCUUACUUAAUUGUUAACAACUAAAAUUGUAAGCAGAGGCAUCUGUGAGCCCCUUUGCGAAAGCAUCGGAACUUUGACUUGCUAAUGUCCCCUAGGACCCGAGUUCUUGUUAUCUGUUCCGAGAUUGAGCGCUCUACCCGUACGUGGGGGAGUGGGACCCCCAUCACCCACUACCUUUCCUCGAGUCUGUUUAUUGGGAGCCACAACCUUGGUUUUAUUUGCUCAUAUGCACGAUGCAUGAUUUACUUCUGUUGCCUUCGGGUGUUUAUAUUCUGUUCUGUACUCAU